UACAGAGGUCUCAAGCGUUGUUCGGAUUCAUUGGGCGUAAAGGGUGUGUAGGUGGCGCCGUAAGUCAGGUGUGAAAUUUCGGAGCUCAACUCCGAAACUGCAUUUGAUACUGCGGUGCUUGAGGACUGGAGAGGAGACUGGAAUUUACGGUGUAGCAGUGAAAUGCGUAGAGAUGUGGAGGAAUACCGAUGGCGAAGGCAGCCCCCUGGGAUAACACUGACGCUCAUGCACGAAAGCGUGGGGAGCAAACAGG
rnacentral:rRNA from 1 species